UACGAAGGGGCUAGCGUUGCUCGGAAUCACUGGGCGUAAAGCGCACGUAGGCGGCUCUUAAGUCAGGGGUGAAAUCCUGGGAGCUCAACUCCAGAACUGCCUUUGAUACUGAGGAGCUUGAAGUCCGGGAGAGGUGAGUGGAACUGCGAGUGGUAGAAGGUGAAAUUCGUAGAUAUUCGCAAGAACACCAGUGGCGAAGGCGGCUCACUGGCCCGGUACUGACGCUGAGGUGCGAA
rnacentral:rRNA from 1 species